rnacentral:tRNA from 1 species
GGGGAAAUAGCUCAGUUGGUAGAGAGUACUUGCCUCACAUGCACAAGGCCCUGGGUUCAAUCCCCAGCAAACCCC